rnacentral:rRNA from 1 species
CAUACUGUGAAACUGCGAAUGGCUCAUUAAAUCAGUUAUCGUUUAUUUGAUAGUACCUUUACCUGGAUAACCGUGGUAAUUCUAGAGCUAAUACAUGCUAAAAACCUCGACUUCGGAAGGGGUGUAUUUAUUAGAUAAAAAACCAAUGCCCUUCGGGGCUCCUUGGUGAUUCAUAAUAACUUAACGAAUCGCAUGGCCUUGCGCCGGCGAUGGUUCAUUCAAAUUUCUGCCCUAUCAACUUUCGAUGGUAGGAUAGUGGCCUACCAUGGUCUUAACGGGUAACGGGGAAUUAGGGUUCUAUUCCGGAGAGGGAGCCUGAGAAACGGCUACCACAUCCAAGGAAGGCAGCAGGCGCGCAAAUUACCCAAUCCCAAUACGGGGAGGUAGUGACAAUAAAUACUGAUACGGGGCUCUUUCGGGUCUCGUAAUUGGAAUGAGUACAAUCUAAAUCCCUUAACGAGGAACAAUUGGAGGGCAAGUCUGGUGCCAGCAGCCGCGGUAAUUCCAGCUCCAAUAGCGUAUAUUAAAGUUGUUGCCGUUAAAAAGCUCGUAGUUGAACCUUGGACCUGGCUGAUCUGUCCUCCUAAUCGAGCGCACGGAUUCGGUCGGGUCUUUCCUUCUGGGGAGCCCUAUGCCCUUCACUGGGUGUAGUGGGGAACCAGGACUUUUACCUUGAAAAAAUUAGAGUGUUCAAAGCAGGCCUUUGCUCGAAUACAUUAGCAUGGAAUAAUAGAAUAGGACAUCGGUUCUAUUUUGUUGGUUUCUAGGACCGCUGUAAUGAUUAAUAGGGAUAGUCGGGGGCGUCAGUAUUCAAUUGUCAGAGGUGAAAUUCUUGGAUUUAUUGAAGACUAACUACUGCGAAAGCAUUCGCCAAGGAUGUUUUCAUUAAUCAGUGAACGAAAGUUAGGGGAUCGAAGACGAUCAGAUACCGUCGUAGUCUUAACCAUAAACUAUGCCGACUAGGGAUCGGACGGUGGUUUUUUUAUGCCCCGUUCGGCACCUUAC